AUUGAACGCUGGCGGCAUGCCUUACACAUGCAAGUCGAACGGUAACAGGUUAAGCUGACGAGUGGCGAACGGGUGAGUAAUAUAUCGGAACGUGCCCAGUCGUGGGGGAUAACUGCUCGAAAGAGCAGCUAAUACCGCAUACGACCUGAGGGUGAAAGCGGGGGAUCGCAAGACCUCGCGCGAUUGGAGUGGCGGAUAUCAGAUUAGGUAGUUGGUGGGGUAAAGGCCUACCAAGCCUACGAUCUGUAGCUGGUCUGAGAGGACGACCAGCCACACUGGGACUGAGACACGGCCCAGACUCCUACGGGAGGCAGCAGUGGGGAAUUUUGGACAAUGGACGCAAGUCUGAUCCAGCCAUGCCGCGUGCGGGAAGAAGGCCUUCGGGUUGUAAACCGCUUUUGUCAGGGAAGAAAAGGUUCUGGUUAAUACCUGGGACUCAUGACGGUACCUGAAGAAUAAGCACCGGCUAACUACGUGCCAGCAGCCGCCGUAAGAC
rnacentral:rRNA from 1 species